rnacentral:rRNA from 1 species
AUUGAACGCUGGCGGCAGGCUUAACACAUGCAAGUCGAGCGGAGAUGAGGUGCUUGCACCUUAUCUUAGCGGGGGACGGGUGAGUAAUGCUUAGGAAUCUGCCUAUUAGUGGGGGACGACAUUCCGAAAGGAAUGCUAAUACCGCAUACGUCCUACGGGAGAAAGCAGGGAUCUUCGGACCUUGCGCUAAUAGAUGAGCCUAAGUCGGAUUAGCUAGUUGGUGGGGUAAAGGCCUACCAAGGCGACGAUCUGUAGCGGGUCUGAGAGGAUGAUCCGCCACACUGGGACUGAGACACGGCCCAGACUCCUACGGGAGGCAGCAGUGGGGAAUAUUGGACAAUGGGGGGAACCCUGAUCCAGCCAUGCCGCGUGUGUGAAGAAGGCCUUAUGGUUGUAAAGCACUUUAAGCGAGGAGGAGGCUACUGAGACUAAUACUCUUGGAUAGUGGACGUUACUCGCAGAAUAAGCACCGGCUAACUCUGUGCCAGCCGCCGCCGUAAGAC